rnacentral:rRNA from 1 species
CAGCAGCCGCGGUAACACGAAGGGGGCUAGCGUUGUUCGGAAUUACUGGGCGUAAAGGGCGCGUAGGCGGCCAUUCAAGUUAGAUGUGAAAGCCCUGGGCUCAACCUAGGAAUUGCAUUUGAUACUGUUUGGCUUGAGUUCGGGAGAGGUGAGUGGAAUUCCCAGUGUAGAGGUGAAAUUCGUAGAUAUUGGGAAGAACACCAGUGGCGAAGGCGGCUCACUGGACCGACACUGACGCUGAGGCGCGAAAGCGUGGGGAGCAAACAGGAUUAGAUACCCGGGUAGUCCCUGUCUCUUAUAC